GGACAGGGACAGGGCAGAGCCUGUCACCCACUGCCGCACCACACUCAGCACUUCAGCACUUCUCCCAGCCCUGGGGAGCCCCAGAUUGUGAAAGCUGCAGGUGGCUCACCUUAGCCCACAGAGCAGCUCCCUCCCAGAGCAGAGAGGCCACCACCUGGCCCAGAAGUCUGCAACUCCGAGAAUCACUGCGGAGGAACGGGGAGUCCAGGGCUGGCCCUCUGUACUCCGAAGGCCACACAGAUGGCGACCCUGGAGGCUCACCUGCCCGCAAGAGGGUGCUGGAAGUCUCCUUUCUGGUCACACCUCAACACCUCCUGCUGCAAGUGGGAGCCACAGGGGCUUGUGCUUGUCACCCCUCCUUCCCGGGUCUCACCAGUCCCUCCCGUGCUGGAAACAGUGCCCCACCUUUGCUGGAGGAGGAGCCUGCCCAGGGUGGAGUGUGUAGUAGGGAGGGCCCAGGCUGGCCUGGGCGCACAGGAACUGGGGACAGGAG